rnacentral:lncRNA from 1 species
GGGCCCAGAGAAAUUGCUUCACUUGCAGCUCUUGUUAAAGAGUUUGAUCUCGAGCUGGGUAUGGUGGUGCACUUCUUUAAUCCCAAUACUUGGGAGGCAGAGGCAGGCGGAUUUCUGAGUUCAAGGCCAGCCUGGUCUACAAAGUGAGUUCCAGGACAGCCAGGGCUAUACAGAGAAACUCUGUCUCAAAAAAACAAAAGAAAACAAAAAAGAGUUUGAUCUCCAAUCCCAACACAUGGUGGCAUAAUUACUUGUAACUCCAGCUUCAAGGGAUCUGAUGCGCUCUUCUGAACUCUACAGGCAUCUGAACACAUGUGCACAAACACCUACACAUAAUUUAAAAAUAAUAAAAAAAAAUAUUUAAAAAGAACCAGGACAGCAGUUGAUCUACCAUGGGUGUGCCCUGCUAGAAACACCUCAGAUUCAUUAUGUGUUUAAUUUUGAUUUGUUACAUGCUUAGAAACUAUAGCUGUUGCCAAAUUUUUCAUGACCUUCCCCCGUUUCAGUUCUAGAAUCCCAUACAGGAUUGCAGCUCACAGUUAGAAAAAUAGUUUCGGAACUGGAGAGGUGGCUCAGUAGUUAAGGGCACUCCUGUUCUUAAGGAGAACCCAGGCUCAGCUCACUUGGAGUUACUGCCUGUAACUCCAGUUUUGGGGGAUUGGGCUCCCUCUUCUGGCCUUCAUGAGCACCUUGCCCGUGCAUAUGGUACACAUACAUACAGAUCCAGGCAAAAUACCCUUACACAUAAGCAUGGUAAUGCAUAUCUUUUUUUGUUGUUGUUGUUUUUCGAGGCAGGGUUUCUCUGUAGCCCUAGCUGUUCUGAACUCACUCUGUAGACCACGCUAGUCUGGAGCUCAGAGAUCCGUCUGCCUCUGCCUCCCAAGUGCUGGGAUUAAAGACGUGCACCACCCCUGCCUGGUGGUAAUCCCAGCACUCGGGGCAGAGGCGAUGGGGUCAGCCUGGUCUGUACAGUGAGUUCCAGGACAGCCAGGUUAUGUAGAGAGAACGGUUUCUUGGUGUCUCAAAGAAAGAAAGUUCUAAAGUGCUAUUUUGCUUGACUUUCAACACCCUACCCCAUAUUGCCAUUGCCUUAUAUCAUGGAUCCCCUAAAACCAAGGUUUACUGUGCUGUGGAGAUGGCUUAGUAAAAUGCUCAAGCAAAGGGACCUGAGCUUGAUCUGUGUACAGAAGACUGGUACUGUGGCUUCUGUCAUCCCAGAGCUGGCAGGCAGACACGAGACCCCUGGGACUUCCUGGCAAGCCCAUGUCUCUGAACUGGUGAGCUCCAGAUUCAGUGAGGGGUCAUUCUCAAAAACAAGAGAUUGAGGAGGAGGACACCUGCCUGAGUACACAUGUGCAGCUUCACAUACACACGUGAAUGAAUGAACACACACACAGAGAAUAGUCACAUUCUCUGUACUGGGCAUCUCAGUAAAGUGUCCAGUGCAUGUUAGGUUCUUUAUAUGACUGCUGAUUAGGGAAUGAAUGAGUGUACUAUGUCAAGGCUCUUCCUCUCCCCGUGUGAACACUAGCAAAGGGGGAAGUCAGCUCAUUUGUGGUUUGUCUUUGUGUGGGUGAGUACACACGCAGGAGUGCAUAAAGGCCAGAGGAGAUGGCCUGUGUUCUCUUGCUCUGCCUUAUUUCUUUAGGACAAGUUCUCACUAAACUGUAAAUUAAGCCAGUAGCCAGCAUACUCCAGCAGUCCUGUCUGGCUGUCACUACCAUCCACAGCACUGAGGUUACAGGCCCAUGCUUGUGCCUGCCCCUGCUUGAAUGUCAAAUGCUCUUACCCACUGAGCUGUCUUCCCAUCCCUGUGAGCCAAUUUUUGUGUUAGGCUUUGAACCGAUUUGAGUUUGGGGUACACACGGGAAGGUUCCUGGGACAAGUGAAGGGGUAGAUCCAGACUGAUUAGAUGAGGGCUUCCACAGUGUGUAUGGAACAGACAGGAUAGUGGGGCCGGACAUGUACAUGACCUGUACAAUGGCAUCAAGGACGGAAGAGAGUAGAAAAUAGGUGGGGCGUGUCCUGGGACAGCCACACUGGCUGUAACCCGGGACAGUUGCCAAGUUGACAGAAAUGUCAGCCUGGUGGAUUCAUUAACUAGCUAAACUUCCUGUGUGUAACAGGUAGACCUGGGGGAGAGAAGUCAUAAAAGUUGUCGGAGAGGCUACCGUAUGAUCAGAGGUACCACUAUUCUGCAAGCCAAGGCAGGAAUUGGAAGUUGUGUCAUUGUGAAAAAGGGUAGCAGUUUAUCACCGAGUUUUAUAAAAGGGAAAAGCAUUCUGAGGAUAAAAUACAAAAUGCUUCCUUUAGGUAAAUAAUCAGUUACCAGGAUGCCUGCUGUGUUUCGCAGAAUAACUUUUGCCCCCUUGAGGUUGGGUCUCAUUCAGCUGACAGACCAAGCUGUCCUUGAACCACAGAGACCAGCCUGCUGCUUUCCUAGUUCUGGGAUUAAAGGCUUGGCCAGAACUACAUUGUUUCCAUGGAUGCUUUCUUUUACUCUUAAAAGGAAAAAAAAAUGUAAACCCUUGAAUUCUGGAGUCCUUGGCUUCUGUUGAAGAGAGCUGCAAAACAGCUACACAUUUACUCAAAUAGUUUUCUCUGUUGGAAGGAGGUAAUUUUUGUAUCACUUCCCCUUUUCCUAUAAAUCACCAUAUCUUGGUUGUAGGGGUAUCACACUGGUAAGAGCCCUUGUUGUAGAAGACUCAAGUUCAAUUAUCAGCUUCCACAAGGUGGCUCACAAUCUCACAACUCCGAUUCCAGGGGAUCUGACACUCUUCUGACUUAAGUGGGGUCCUAGGCAUAACACAUGGUGCACAUUCAUACAUGCAGGCAGAAAUAAACUGGGAAAAAAAGAAAGGUCAUUGACUUUUUUCUAAAUCUCCGUGAACACCAGAAGAAGUCAUCAGAUCCCAUUACAGAUUGUUGUGGUUGCUGGGAAUUGAACUCAGGACCUCUGGAAGAGCAGCCAAUUCUCUUAACUGCUGAGCCAUCUCUCUAGCCCCAACCUCUCUCUUUCUAUAGGCAGGUUGGCACAGAUUCUGUUCUUCUGUCGACUCAUCAGUUUGUGACACAUGUGCACUCUUUAUUUUUUAUUUUUCCUUUGAGACUUCUCACAGUGUUUCCCUGGCUGUCUUGAUUGGUUUUUAUUUGUUUUUGUUUUGUUUUGUUUUGUUCUAAGUAUUUCACUCUGUAGCCAAAGCUGUCCUGGAACUCAAAAUCUUCCUGCCUCAGCAUCCUCAGUGCUUGUAAUACAGAGGUCACUACACCUGGUUACAAAGUCUGUAAAUUGCUGGGGGUUUUUUGGGCUUUUUUCUGUGCUGCCAGUACCUUGUGCUCUCGGUAUUGUGAUGGUUGGUGUUGGGUCUCAGCUGUGUAUGGAUGUAGCACUGCCAGAUAAAGAUCUGCUGCAAAUUGGACCCUGCUGUUUUUAAAGUGAAAUCGAAGACUGGUGCUUUACUCUAUUGCCCUCCGUGCAAAGCAGCUGGUGAUUUGUUAUCGGAUUCUUCAGUGCUGUGCAAGUAAACGCAUUUUAUCUAAAGUUAGCUGUUACAGAUUACUCCAUGCCUAGCAUGGCCCUAGGGUGGCUCUGGGUUCCAUCUCCAGCACUGCACAUAAUAAAAUGAACUGUAAGUUAAAUGUUGGGUUUUAGUUUUUUAUAUUUAAAAAUGUUUAUUUAAUGUGUAUGAAUGGUCUGCUUUUAUGUAUGUGUACAUGCAGUGGGUGCCUGAUGCCUGAGGAGGGCACUGGAUCCCCAGAACUGGAGUUGUUUGGCCGCUUGUGGAUGCUGGGAACUUAUUUCAAGGGCAGAGUUGAGUAAUCAGGGUAGGCUCCUCCUUGACUAGAAUCUGAAAGGUGGUAUUGAAGGAUCUCACCAAGGGAAGCAGAAGCAGCCUUCUACUGUACUGAAGGAAGCCCCAUGAGCUGUCAUGUAAUCUUGGGAAAUGUUAGAAAGAAAACUACUCAAGACCUGGGCUUCUGAAUGGAGCAUUGGAGGCCUCUACAAUGUGAGAGAGGCCUUACUAGACCGGAGCACAUGUUUGUUACAGGAAGCCGAAGUUAGAGUCCAGAAGAAUGGCUUCCUAGCGUUGUGUCUGUGUGCUUACAUAAAUAAGAAGCUGGUUGUAUGGGGCAAAGCUGAGCGUCUAUCCCGGCAUUAACUGCCCUCAGAGCAAUGUGGCUAGUGUUCACGUUGCGACCUCUUUCUGGUUUCCUUAAGUAAUAUGGGGGACAGUGAAGGAAUAUCACUGUAGUUAGCGCUAGGGGG